CCUACGGGUGGCAGCAGUGAGGAAUAUUGGUCAAUGGACGAGAGUCUGAACCAGCCAAGUCGCGUGAAGGAUGACUGCCCUAUGGGUUGUAAACUUCUUUUAUCUGGGAGUAAAGUGGUCCACGUGUGGGCUUUUCUAUGUACCCUGUUAAAAAGGAUCGGCUAACUCCGUGCCAUCAGCCGCGGUAAUACGGGGGAUGCAAGCGUUUUCCGGAUUUAUUGGGUUGAAAGGGUGCGUAUGCUGGGAGGUAAGUCAGCGGUGUAAUUCCCCGGCUCAACGGGGUGAAGUGCCUUUGAUACUGCCUUGCUGGAGUGCGUGAGAGGUGGGAGGAAUGUGUGGUGUAGCGGUGAAAUGCAUAGAUAUCACACAGAACACCGAUUGCGAAGGCAGCUUACG
rnacentral:rRNA from 1 species